rnacentral:lncRNA from 1 species
AUUAUGCUGGAUCUCAUCAUGAUAACUUCGUGUUCGCUCAAAUCUACAGGAACUUGUUGAGGGACCUAGAUCAGCAGCAGGCAUCCCAAUAUCACCAGGGAAAGAGAAAUGCCGAUUCAGAUGGUGUGACCCAUUGUUAUAACUUUGAUGAAAGCCUGUGUUGGGCAUCGAAGUCCUUCCAAUUCCAUGCUCAUCAUCAAGCAAGUC